rnacentral:rRNA from 1 species
GUGGGGAAUAUUGGACAAUGGGCGAAAGCCUGAUCCAGCCAUGCCGCGUGUGUGAAGAAGGUCUUCGGAUUGUAAAGCACUUUAAGUUGGGAGGAAGGGUAGUAACCUAAUACGUUGCUACUUUGACGUUACCGACAGAAUAAGCACCGGCUAACUUCGUGCCAGCAGCCGCGGUAAUACGAAGGGUGCAAGCGUUAAUCGGAAUUACUGGGCGUAAAGCGCGCGUAGGUGGUUCAGUAAGUUGGAAGUGAAAUCCCCGGGCUCAACCUGGGAACUGCUUUCAAAACUGCUGAGCUAGAGUACGGUAGAGGGUGGUGGAAUUUCCUGUGUAGCGGUGAAAUGCGUAGAUAUAGGAAGGAACACCAGUGGCGAAGGCGACCACCUGGACUGAUACUGACACUGAGGUGCGAAAGCGUGGGGAUCGAACAGGAUUAGAUACCCGGGUAGUCC